UACGUAGGUGACAAGCGUUGUCCGGAUUUACUGGGCGUAAAGAGCGCGCAGGCGGUCGUUCAAGUCGAGUGUGAAAGCCCCCCGGCUCAACUGGGGAGGGUCACUCGAUACUGAUCGACUCGAAGGCAGGAGAGGGUAGUGGAAUUCCCGGUGUAGUGGUGAAAUGCGUAGAUAUCGGGGAGGAACACCAGUGGCGAAGGCGGGUCUCUGGACAGUUCCUGACGCUGAGGCACGAAGGCCAGGGGAGCAAACGGG
rnacentral:rRNA from 1 species